AUUGAACGCUGGCGGCAGGCCUAACACAUGCAAGUCGAGCGAAGCUGCGGAUGGGUGAUUAACGCGUGGGUAACCUGCCCUUAAGUCUGGCAUACCAUUUGGCAACAGAUGCUAAUCCCGGAUACUAACAGAUGGUGCUGCAUUGCAUUACCUAGUUGGUAAGGUAACGGCUUACCAAGGCGAUGAUGCAGAGCAGAGUGGAGAGACUGAUCGGCCACAUGGGGACUGAGACACGGCCCAAACUCCUACGGUAGGCAGCAGUAGGGAAUCUUCCACAAUGGACGAAAGUCUGAUGGAGCAACGCCGCGUGAGUGAAGAAGGUUUUCGGAUCGUAAAGCUCUGUUGUUGGUGAAGCGGUAAUCAACCAGAAAGUCACGGCUAACUACGUGCCAGCAGCCGCGGUAAUAC
rnacentral:rRNA from 1 species